UUUAAAGAGAGUUUGAUCCUGGCUCAGGACGAACGCUGGCGGCGUGCCUAAUACAUGCAAGUCGAACGAACGGAGGAAGAGCUUGCUCUUCCAAUGUUAGUGGCGGACGGGUGAGUAACACGUGGGCAACCUGCCUGUAAGUUGGGGAUAACUCCGGGAAAC
rnacentral:rRNA from 1 species